rnacentral:pre_miRNA from 1 species
UCAUGAUGAUGAAGUUGAUGAUGAUGAGGAUAAUGAUGAUGAUGAUGAUCAUCAUCAUUAUCAUCAUCGUCAUUAUCCUUCUCA